GCAUAUCAAUAAGCGGAGGAAAAGAAACCAACAGGGAUUGCCCCAGUAACGGCGAGUGAAGCGGCAACAGCUCAAAUUUGAAAUCUGGUCCCUAGGGCCCGAGUUGUAAUUUGUAGAGGAUGCUUUUGGUGAGGUGCCGCCCGAGUUCCCUGGAACGGGACGCCACAGAGGGUGAGAGCCCCGUCUGGCUGGCCGCCGAGCCUCUGUAAAGCUCCUUCGACGAGUCGAGUAGUUUGGGAAUGCUGCUCAAAAUGGGAGGUAUAUGUCUUCUAAAGCUAAAUAUUGGCCAGAGACCGAUAGCGCACAAGUAGAGUGAUCGAAAGAUGAAAAGCACCUUGAAAAGAGGGUUAAAUAGUACGUGAAAUUGUUGAAAGGGAAGCGCUUGUGACCAGACUUGGGCGCGGCGGAUCAUCCGGGGUUCUCUCCGGUGCACUUCGCCGCGUCUAGGCCAGCAUCAGUUCGUCGCGGGGGAAAAAGGCUUCGGGAACGUGGCUCCUCCGGGAGUGUUAUAGCCCGUUGCAUAAUACCCUGCGGUGGACUGAGGACCGCGCAUCUGCAAGGAUGCUGGCGUAAUGGUCACCAGCGACCCGUCUUGAAACACGGACC
rnacentral:rRNA from 15 species